AAAACCGUGUAACGAUACGUCUAAUAAGACUCACGCAUCUUAUAUAACAUUAGAGCCUGUUGAUUUGCAACCCUCUGCGAAUAAGACAUCGGAAACACCGAAUUAUGAUACUAUACAAGAUGUACUCCUACCAAUGUCUUCGUUAUCUGCGCAAGGACCAGUAGUACAUUCUGAAACUACUCAAGAAAAUGAUGGAAAUGAAGACGCAUUCAUAACUGAAAUGGAUAACAAGGAAAGCUAUUUCCAACCCUUAUCAGGACGGCGAAUAAUUGAUAUAAAUUAUUUUUUACAAAAAUUCCAUGAAAAAGCACGCUAUAAUGAUCUAUUUGAUUGUAAAUCAAGCAACUUCUGCUUUAAAUUGAAAUGUUAUAUGUGUAAAGAAAUUUGUUCUAUUUUAUCUGAAAACACCAAAGAUACCGAGCAUGUAGAUGCUAAUAUAGCUGCUACCACUGGAGUUGUAGCCUCUGGUAUGGUUUUUCUCAGAUUGAAGAGUUAUUUUCAGCAAUAAACAUUCCUAUAUUUUCUACAAAAUUCUUUAAUCAAAUGCAAAAUAAACUUUAUAAGAAAUGGGAAGAAACUGCAUGUGAAACAAUGGAAGCUGCUGCCAAUAAAGAAAAAGAGAUUGCUUUAGCAGAUGGCCGGACCAACAACGGCUAUGCUGUCAUAGAUGUCUAUGUGGAUGGAGCAUGGUGUGCUAGGUCAUAUGGUUCAAACUAUAAAGCUUCAUCAGGUGCAGCAGCCAUAAUUGGCAGAAAUACGGGUGAAGUUUUCUACUUCGGUGUCAAAAAUAAAUAUUGUCUUGUAUGUGCCCGAGCCGAAAAUAAAAAAAACUGCAUCGCAAGACCACUUGUGUUUCAAAAAUUUUCAGGGAUCGUCUAGUUCAAUGGAAGCCGACAUAAUCGUUGAAGGUUUCAAAAACUUAAUUUCCACGUAUGGUAUAAUAUAUGGCAGAAUGGUAGGAGAUGGUGAUUCUUCGACCUACUCUAAAAUUCUUAUCUCAAAUACUUAUGAAAGUCAAAAUUUGACGGUUGAAAAAUUAGAGUGCCGCAAUCAUAUAUUGCGCAAUUUUUGCAAAAAGCUAAAGCAGUCACCACAGAAACUAAAUACAU